rnacentral:rRNA from 1 species
UGGGGAAUUUUGGACAAUGGGCGAAAGCCUGAUCCAGCAAUGCCGCGUGUGUGAAGAAGGCCUUCGGGUUGUAAAGCACUUUUGUCCGGAAAGAAAUCCUUGGCUCUAAUACAGUCGGGGGAUGACGGUACCGGAAGAAUAAGCACCGGCUAACUACGUGCCAGCAGCCGCGGUAAUACGUAGGGUGCAAGCGUUAAUCGGAAUUACUGGGCGUAAAGCGUGCGCAGGCGGUUUGCUAAGACCGAUGUGAAAUCCCCGGGCUCAACCUGGGAACUGCAUUGGUGACUGGCAGGCUAGAGUAUGGCAGAGGGGGGUAGAAUUCCACGUGUAGCAGUGAAAUGCGUAGAGAUGUGGAGGAAUACCGAUGGCGAAGGCAGCCCCCUGGGCCAAUACUGACGCUCAUGCACGAAAGCGUGGGGAGCAAACAGGAUUAGAUACCCUGGUAGUCCACGCCCUAAAACGAUGUCAACUAGUUGUUGGGGAUUCAUUUCCUUAGUAACGUAACUAACGCGUGAAGUUGACCGCCUGGGGAGUACGGUCGCAAGAUUAAAACUUAAAGGAAUUGACGGGGUCAUAGCUGUUUCCU